UCGGAUAUGGUGUAUCGGCUAGCAUCGUCCGCUUUCAAGUCAUUGUUGCCGGACAGAGCCGGGUUCGACUCCCGGUAUCCGAA